CUCCAGCUGUCCCAUAGUAAUGAAAGUAUUGGGAGUUGGGACGAGACAGCCAGUCGAAAUCAUGAUUCAGCUUUAUUUUUUAUGGAUAUAUACAAAGAACUAUCAAUAGAAAACAGGUCAAAUUAAACAAAGUGCAGCUAGUUUGAAGUAUUUCCAGCUUCAGUUUGAAGUGAUUGUGUUAGCUGUGUUGUUGGCUAGCUAUCGAGAGAGAGCACAGUUUUUUCACGCAUCAUUAGCUCAUUGUUAUGGAUGUAUCCAAAUAAGAAAACUGCUUAAACAAAUGCAAAUGCAGCUACUUUGUUGUUAUUCUGGCUGCACUGUUUGACGUGACUGUAAAUUAGCGGUAGUUGGCUAGCUAGCAAGCAAGGGAUAAGAACGUUGCCAGCUAGUAUGGCAAUGGAACAUUUAGAACAAACGACUGCGUUUUGUCCAUAGAUACAGAACAAAAAGACUGAAGCAUAAAAAUUAUGCCAGCUGAUUCAUGAUUUCGACUGUCUCGUCCCAACUCCUGACACAUUAAUUACUAUGGGACAGCUGGAGAUUGAAUUUGAAUAUUGAAACAAUGUUACAAAUGUCGGAGAAACAGCAGCGAGGUUUAUACAAAUCUCUGCUGUUGAAAACGAAAUGUUAGUCUAAAAUAAAUGUGAGAAUGUCUACAUGCUUUUUAUAAUGGAAUUCAUAAAUUGCCUGGCUGGGCUGAUGAGACAGUGGAUUGCACAGUCAGAUGGAACACAGUAAAUAGGCAUUUUAACGUUAUAGAGUUAGCCGGUGAUAAAUUGUGGAAAAGACACCAGCUGGAAUGCGGUUUUAACCAAUCAGCAUUCAGGAUUAGACCCACAGAAUUAUAAGCAAAUCUUGUCUGCUAAAUGAACUAGUGUAGCCUACAGCCAUAUGGCAUAGCCAGAUCAGAGCCUAACAUAAUGAAAACUCAGAGUAUGCUAUUCUGUUCUUCUGAAAUAGAUUACAUUUUCUUCGUAUCAUGUUUCUUUAGACCGGUCUAAAAUAAAUAAUGGAUUUAUUUUGAUGGUGUCGGCUAUAUUACAUGGAUUUUUAGACUUAAAAUGUAGAUGUUCGAAGGUCUUCAUCAGUGGCUGGUAGGCUAUGGCUGGAAGCCAGGAGUUGCUACGUGUUUAUGUUAAUUAACGGUCAAUUACUGUGAGACCUGCAGUUAUUUGCU
ensembl:lncRNA